rnacentral:rRNA from 1 species
GACGAACGCUGGCGGCGUGCUUAACACAUGCAAGUCGAGCGGUAAGGCCCUUUCGGGGGUACACGAGCGGCGAACGGGUGAGUAACACGUGGGUGACCUGCCCUCAGCUCUGGGAUAAGCCUGGGAAACCGGGUCUAAUACCGGAUAUGACUCCAUGACGCAUGUUGUGGGGUGGAAAGCCUUGUGCGGCUGAGGAUGGGCCCGCGGCCUAUCAGCUUGUUGGUGGGGUGAUGGCCUACCAAGGCGACGACGGGUAGCCGGCCUGAGAGGGCGACCGGCCACACUGGGACUGAGACACGGCCCAGACUCCUACGGGAGGCAGCAGUGGGGAAUCUUGCGCAAUGGGCGAAAGCCUGACACAGCGACGCCGCGUGAGGGAUGACGGCCUGG